rnacentral:rRNA from 1 species
GACGAACGCUGGCGGCGUGCCUAAUACAUGCAAGUAGAACGCUGAAGCGAGGAGCUUGCUCUUCUUGGAUGAGUUGCGAACGGGUGAGUAACGCGUAGGUAACCUGCCUUGUAGCGGGGGAUAACUAUUGGAAACGAUAGCUAAUACCGCAUAACAAUGGAUGACACAUGUCAUUUAUUUGAAGGGGCAAUAGCUCCACUACAAGAUGGACCUGCGUUGUAUUAGCUAGUAGGUGAGGUAAUGGCUCACCUAGGCGACGAUACAUAGCCGACCUGAGAGGGUGAUCGGCCACACUGGGACUGAGACACGGCCCAGACUCCUACGGGAGGCAGCAGUAGGGAAUCUUCGGCAAUGGGGGCAACCCUGACCGAGCAACGCCGCGUGAGUGAAGAAGGUUUUCGGAUCGUAAAGCUCUGUUGUAAGUCAAGAACGGGUGUGAGAGUGGAAAGUUCACACUGUGACGGUAGCUUACCAGAAAGGGACGGCUAACUACGUG